AGAAAGAAGUCCAUGCUUUCCCCCACAGUGCAGUAUUCCUCCUCAGCCUCUAACGACAGAUCGGAUGAGAAGGACUCUGAGGGUUGGACUCGAUUCAUUCUUGAGGUGAGGAAGAAAUGGAGCUGGUGGGGUCUGUGUUGGACCAUAAGGCACGUGAAGUCUUCAUUCAUGUAUGCUUGAUUAGGACUCUGGCCCAUGAUUGAACCCCAUGUAGGGACCUUUUGCUUGGGCCAUUCAUGUAGGGUAAGAUAGAAGAGGAAGAAGAAACAAUGAGAAAGAAUGGAACUGUGAGUGGCAGCUUCAAGGAAAACAUGGAAGGACUGAUGCUUACAUAUCUGCUGUGCUGCUGCACUACCACCACUGCACUGCCACUGUUGUUUCAACUCAAAAUCCCUACUGUUGGACAACUUUUGAGUGAUUCUCUUGUCCUUUCCCUUCUUAUUUUAUUGGGUUGUCAAUUAAUUACUUUGGUACUACCAUUGACCCUUUUGGAAAAUGACAAAACUUAGGUGCUUUUACGGGAUUGUUAUCUGAUUUUUUUUUAAUAAUUUUAUAAUAGUCAACAAACUUUUUUUUAACGAAGGAAAUCAUUUUGUACCAUAUUGUAACAUUCACCCAUGUGUCAUGGGACUAUUUGAGAACUUCUAAAGAAGACUUGGUAUUUUAAUGAGAA